rnacentral:rRNA from 1 species
UACGGAAGGCAGCAGUGGGGAAUAUUGCACAAUGGGCGCAAGCCUGAUGCAGCCAUGCCGCGUGUAUGAAGAAGGCCUUCGGGUUGUAAAGUACUUUCAGUCGUGAGGAAGGUGUUAAGGUUAAUAACCUUAGCAAUUGACGUUAGCGACAGAAGAAGCACCGGCUAACUCCGUGCCAGCAGCCGCGGUAAUACGGAGGGUGCGAGCGUUAAUCGGAAUUACUGGGCGUAAAGGGCACGCAGGCGGUUAAUUAAGUUGGAUGUGAAAUCCCCGGGCUUAACCUGGGAAUGGCAUUCAAGACUGGUUAGCUAGAGUCUUGUAGAGGGGGUAGAAUUCCAUGUGUAGCGGUGAAAUGCGUAGAGAUGUGGAGGAAUACCGGUGGCGAAAGGCGGCCCCUGGACAAAGACUGACGCUCGAUGUGCGAAAGCGUGGGGAGCAAACAGGAUUAGAUACC